AUUGAACGCUGGCGGCAGGCCUAACACAUGCAAGUCGAACGAGUGGCGGACGGGUGAGUAAUGUCUGGGAAACUGCCUGAUGGAGGGGGAUAACUACUGGAAACGGUAGCUAAUACCGCAUACCAUCGGAUGUGCCCAGAUGGGAUUAGCUAGUGGGUGGGGUAAAGGGUCACCUAGGCGACGAUCCCUAGCUGGUCUGAGAGGAUGACCAGCCAAACUGGAGCUAGUACACGGUCCAGACUCCUACGGGAGGCAGCAGUGGGGAAUAGUGCACAAUGGGCGCAAGCAUGAUGCAGCCAUGCCGCAUGUAUGAAGAAGGCCUUCGGGUUGUAAAGUACUUUCAGCGGGGAGGCGUUACCCGCAGGAGAAGCACCGGCUAACUCCGUGCCAGCAGCCGCGGUAAUUC
rnacentral:rRNA from 1 species